GACGAACGCUGGCGGCGUGCUUAACACAUGCAAGUCGAACGGUGAAGCGCCUUCCUUUUUGGUGGGUGUGGAUGAGUGGCGAACGGGUGAGUAACACGUGAGUAACCUGCCCCCUUCUUCUGGAUAACCGCAUGAAAGUGUGGCUAAUACGGGAUAUUCUGGGUCUGUCGCAUGAUGGGUCUGGGAAAGAUAUUGUUUCGGUGGGGGAUGGGCUCGCGGCCUAUCAGCUUGUUGUGGGGUGAUGGCCUACCAAGGCGGUGACGGGUAGCCGGCCUGAGAGGGUGGACGGUCACACUGGGACUGAGACACGGCCCAGACUCCUACGGGAGGCAGCAGUGGGGAAUAUUGCACAAUGGGCGCAAGCCUGAUGCAGCGACGCCGCGUGAGGGAUGGAGGCCUUCGGGUUGUGAACCUCUUUCGCCAGUGAAGCAGGCCUGCCUCGUUUGUGGGUGGGUUGACGGUAGCUGGAUAAGAAGCGCCGGCUAACUACGU
rnacentral:rRNA from 1 species